rnacentral:lncRNA from 1 species
CUCGGAGGUUACAGAACUGACUGAAGACUUGAUGGAAAGAUAAAAUUUUUGCAAACCUUUGUGUUGCCAAAAAAAGGUGUUUAAUGAGAAAACCAGCAACAUUUUCUGCUUUAGCUAUAUAAAUAGCAUGCUUUCAUGGUCCAUGAUUUAUAAAAGCUGAUGCUUUUAACUUUCAUCACUGCAUAGGACACUGCAAAACAUGUCUGAGGACGUUAUGCACAGUUUUGUCAAAUGGCAGGAAGACAGCGCAGACUGAGAGUGCUGCUCCAGGUGCAGCAGCGUGCCGGUGGCCAGCUCCAGCUGUGCUUAUCGGCGCUGCCGCUGACCUUUCAAGCCACUUCUCGCUCUCAGUUUGUUUGCUCUCUUUAUCAGCCCUGAACCCUGCCAGUACAGCUCUAAGAGAGGUCUGUAGCGUGAAACGGGAUGCACAGAAGUGCAGGAAGAGGUUGGUGCCCUCUGUGACCUGGUUAUCUGCCGGAAAGUCAGUGCAGUCACUUUCCCCUUGCCACAGAGCUUAAAGAAAGCAUACUUUCCGAUACAGAUAACUUUACUAGGAGGUGGUGGUUGCAAUUCCCUUUAUAGCUACUGAUUGUUAAUUGCAGAGCUAAUAUAGUUAUACUGCAGCCAGCUGAGUUAGAGUGAAUUUCUAAAAGCGCCUUGUGCCGUACAGACACCGGUUACUGAGAGCCUGAGAAAUCUCAAACAGAUGAAUUUUCCACUCCUUACUCUUACUACAGCUCACAUUGGAGGCUCGUCUGUUAAGGAAGACGCUCUCUGGGACCAGGGUGAGUAUAGAGUCAUACAUAAAUAUAGCACUUGGAAAGCGCUCCACCUGACAUUCAUACAGCUUGUCUUCUAGGAAUGAGAUUCAAAACGGAUGACAACUGCCCGCUCAUGGAGAGAAGGGUGAAGAUAUGCUCUGUGCAGAGGCAUGCAGCUUUCUUCAGGGUGUUUUCUCUUUUGUGGAAUACAGGUUUACUUGGCUUUGCAGGUGUUAUCAGGACAUCUCAUCAUUUCUGCGGGCUGCAAAGUCUCACUCAGCAUCUUUUUAAUUAAUCCAUAUUGUUAAUGCAAUCUUUCAAUGGCACAGAGUUUUCUUGCAAAAAUAAGGGUUCAGAUCAGACUUGUGGCAUGUUACUAGAUGGAAGCUCAGCUGGGCUUCUUCAGAUGGAAGACUGAGUUCUAAAGAAAAAGAUUAUGCACCUACUCUCAAAAGCAGUACCAUCAUGGUAAAAGUAAAAAUGUACUCUUGUACUGUAUUGAGAACUAUUUUUGCGUUAAAAAAUGA